GAUGAACGCUGGCGGCGUGCCUAACACAUGCAAGUCGAACGAAGCUGUAUGACGGAAGUUUUCGGAUGGAAGAUAUACAGACUUAGUGGCGGACGGGUGAGUAACGCGUGAGCAAUCUGCCUUUGGGAGGGGGAUAACAGUUGGAAACGACUGCUAAUACCGCAUAAUGCAAUUGAGUGGCAUCACUUAAUUGCCAAAGUUUUUUCGCCCAAAGAUGAGCUCGCGUCUGAUUAGCUAGUUGGUGGGGUAAUGGCCCACCAAGGCGACGAUCAGUAGCCGGACUGAGAGGUUGAACGGCCACAUUGGGACUGAGACACGGCCCAGACUCCUACGGGAGGCAGCAGUGGGGAAUAUUGCGCAAUGGGGGAAACCCUGACGCAGCAACGCCGCGUGAAGGAUGAAGGUCUUCGGAUUGUAAACUUCUUUGAUUAGGGAAGAAUUUUGACGGUACCUAAAGAACAAGCCACGGCUAACUACGUGCCAGCCGCCGCCGUAAGAC
rnacentral:rRNA from 1 species